AUUGAACGCUGGCGGCAUGCCUUACACAUGCAAGUCGAACGGCAGCACGGAGCUUGCUCUGGUGGCGAGUGGCGAACGGGUGAGUAAUAUAUCGGAACGUACCCAAGAGUGGGGGAUAACGUAGCGAAAGUUACGCUAAUACCGCAUACGAUCUAAGGAUGAAAGUGGGGGAUCGCAAGACCUCAUGCUCCUGGAGCGGCCGAUAUCUGAUUAGCUAGUUGGUGAGGUAAAGGCUCACCAAGGCAUCGAUCAGUAGCUGGUCUGAGAGGACGACCCGCCACACUGGAACUGAGACACGGUCCAGACUCCUACGGGAGGCAGCAGUGGGGAAUUUUGGACAAUGGGGGCAACCCUGAUCCAGCAAUGCCGCGUGAGUGAAGAAGGCCUUCGGGUUGUAAAGCUCUUUUGUCAGGGAAGAAACGGUGAAGGCUAAUAUCCUUUGCUAAUGACGGUACCUGAAGAAUAAGCACCGGCUAACUACGUGCCAGCAGCCGCAGUAAAAC
rnacentral:rRNA from 1 species